CCAAUAGCGUAUAUUAAAGUUGUUGCAGUUAAAAAGCUCGUAGUUGAAUUUUCGGGGCCAGUAGGUUGGUCGUGCCACUGGUAUGCACUGGUCUCACUGGUCCCUCCUUCUUGUAGAACCGUGAUGGCAUUAAUUUGUUGUUGCGGGGAAACAGGACUGUUACUUUGAAAAAAUUAGAGUGCUUAAAGCAGGCUCGCGCUUGAAUACAUUAGCAUGGAAUAACGAAAUAGGACGAUCGAACCUAUUUUGUUGGUUUCUAGGAUCGACGUAAUGAUUAAUAGGGAUAGUUGGGGGCAUUAGUAUUCAAUUGUCAGAGGUGAAAUUCUUGGAUUUAUUGAAGACUAACUACUGCGAAAGCAUUUGCCAAGGAUGUUUUCAUUAAUCAAGAACGAAAGUUAGGGGAUCGAAGACGAUCAGAUACCGUCGUAGUCUUAACCAUAAACUAUGCCGACUAGGGAUCGGAUGAAGUUAAUUUUUUAAUGACUCAUUCGGCGCCUUACG
rnacentral:rRNA from 1 species